AUGGGCGUAUCCCUGGGGAUCUUCAUCGCCAUGGACAAUCUACGGAAACAGGAAUCUCAUCCAAAGCCAAUCUCAAGGCUCCUUAGUUCCAUAACUGAUUUUAGGCUUGGACAAAACUUCUUAAGACCUUCCCCUUAUUCAACAUUAUUGAAUCCUGACGAUAGGAGUAAGUUUGGAGGCAUUAAAACGCCCAGUGGUAGUGCAACAGGAAUGCCAUCGAUGAUCUCAAACGAAAACCUGAUCGGGAAGAAAGGAAAGCCACAACCUUAUCCACUUUCCGCUGACCAAACUUUCCUAAAACCGAGCUCCAAUGAAUGGCGUUCCCUGGCUACGUUAUUUCAUAAAAUCUCUCUCAUUGCGCACAUUCUCAUGUACCUCAUCAUUUUGAUAAAGUGUUUUUACUAAAAAGAAGAAAAAACAAACAAUUCAUGUCUUUUAUUUUCUGUUCUUUUACCUUGAUCUAACUACUCUUCAAAGGGAUCAGGGCAUAGACUUAUAAAGGUAAUAUAAGUAAUACACGUUUAUGGGUUGGGGGGAAUCGGAUUUGUUUAGUCACGCGUCACGGAGCUCAACAAAUAUCUCUGCGGCCUCCAUCGAUGACAAUAAAAGUAACAUAAAAAUGGACUUGGAUUCCCUCCGACAGUUAUCCAUCUCAUUUGCUCUCUUUUAAUCCCUGUGUGAUUUUCACAGCCGAAGAUACGAAAGACGAAAUCCGGUCGGAAAAAUUUCAUUUCAAUAUCGCGAAAAAUACGCGGUUUGUAUAUCGACGCGAGCAUUAUUCAUAAACGUCGGUAACUUCAAUAGUUGAAAAGCAAUGAUUUUCCCUCUUUGCGAGAUACCACAAUCCUACUCCGGAGUUCGAAUAGUUGCUUGCGUAGAUGUGAGCACUACAUUCAUAAAUGUCAGUAACUUGGAAUAGUUAAAGAGCUAUGAUUUUCCUUCAAUUUGGCGUGAUACCACUCACCUACUCCGGAGUUUGAAUAGUUGCUUGCGUAAAUGUGAGCAUUACAUUCAUAAACGUCAGUAAUUUGGAAUAGUUAAAAAGCUAUGAUUUUCCUUCGAUUUGGCGUGAUACCACUCACCUACUCCGGAGUGUGAUUAGUUGCUUGCAUCGAUGUGAGCAUUACAUUCAUAAACGUUAGUAACUUGAAUAGUUAAAAAGGUAUGAUUCUCCUUCAAUUUUGCGUGAUACCACAUACCUACUCCGGAGUUCGAAUAGUUGCUCGCAUCAUUUCCACGUGUGAAGAAGAGAGAAAUUACGCGAGUUCAUCUUAAAAUCCGAGAAACACGCGAUACUUUCGACGGCUUCAUUAAAUCAUGAGAAAUUAAAUUAUACGCGCGUUUCAUCUCCGUUUCUCGUCAAAUGCGCGAUUACUAGAGAAAUCUUGUUUAAGAUAUGAGAAAUUACGCGAGAAUCAGUGUAAUAUCGCAGCUAGUAUGCAAUUUUGUAAAAUUAUUUAGAAAUACGCGUUAUUCGCAUUUAAAGCGGCACAUGCACAAGUUUACUUUCGGUUGAUUGGGAAAACUCACAAAUCGCGGAAAAUACAGCAUUAUCAUAUCAAUGAGAGCAUAAAAUUCAGCAAAGUUAGUAACCUGAGAUUUCGCAAGAUACCACAAACCUACUCUGACGUUCAAAUAGUUGCUCGCUCGGUUUCUGCGGGUGCAAAGCGCGAGAUGACGCAAGUUUUAUCUCGAUAUCGCGAGAAAUGCGCGAUAUUUCCAGCGGAUUCCACCAAUGGAAGGAAAUUACGUGCUUUUCAUCUCGGUAUAUAGCGGAAAUUCGUGAUUUUUCUAUCAAUUUUUAAAAGACAAUGAAAAAGUGCGCGAUAAUCACCGCAAUAUCGAGGCAAGUACGCAUUGACUAAGCCUGUCAAAUCAUCAAAAAUUAUGCGUUGUUUAUGUCAGUAUCACCUAAUCAUCUCAAAUUUUCCAGCAAUUGAUUUACAACGAAAAAAAACGCACAUUUUUCACAUCAAUAUUGUUUGAGAUACGCGAUUUUUACAUCGAUGCGAGCUAAUUCAUAAACAUCACUAACUUAAGAUAGGCGAAAAGCUAUAAAUUUCCUUCAAUUUUGCGUGAUACCACACGCCAACUCCGGAGUUCGAAUAGUUGCUAGCUCAGUUUUCGCGUGUGAGAAAUUACGCGAGAUUCGUCUCAAUAUCGCAAAAAAUGCGCUAUAUUUCCAGUGGAUUCCACUAAUGGAUAGAAAUUAUGUGCUUUUCAUCUCGGUAUAGCGGAAAAUGCGUGAUUUUUCCGGCAAUUUUUUCAAGACAAUGAGAAUAUACGCGAUUAUCACGGCAAUAUCCAGACAAGUGCCUACAUAAUUUUCCCCGAAAUUGAGG
rnacentral:lncRNA from 1 species